UUUGCGUCGAAGGUAUACCGGUAAGGAGUGCUGGAGCGAAUAGAAGUGAGCAUGCAGGCAUGAGUAGCGAUAAUUAAUGUGAGAAUCAUUAACGCCGUAAACCCAAGGUUUCCUACGCGAUGCUCGUCAUCGUAGGGUUAGUCGGGUCCUAAGUCGAGUCCGAAAGGGGUAGACGAUGGCAAAUUGGUUAAUAUUCCAAUACCAACAUUAGUGUGCGAUGGAAGGACGCUUAGGGCUAAGGGGGCUAGCGGAUGGAAGUGCUAGUCUAAGGUCGUAGGAGGUUAUACAGGCAAAUCCGUAUAACAAUACUCCGAGAACUGAAAGGCUUUUUGAAGUCUUCGGAUGGAUAGAAGAACCCCUGAUGCCGUCGAGCCAAGAAAAGUUUCUAAGUUUAGCUAAUGUUGCCCGUACCGUAAACCGACACAGGUGGGUGGGAUGAGUAUUCUAAGGCGCGUGGAAGAACUCUCUUUAAGGAACUCUGCAAAAUAGCACCGUAUCUUCGGUAUAAGGUGUGGUUAGCUUUGUAUUAGGAUUUACUCCGAAAGCAAGGAAACUUACAACAAAGAGUCCCUCCCGACUGUUUACCAAAAACACAGCACUCUGCUAACUCGUAAGAGGAUGUAUAGGGUGUGACGCCUGCCCGGUGCUCGAAGGUUAAUUGAUGGGGUUAGCAUUAGCGAAGCUCUUGAUCGAAGCCCGAGUAAACGGCGGCCGUAACUAUAACGGUCCUAAGGUAGCGAAAUUCCUUGUCGGUUAAAUACCGACCUGCAUGAAUGGCGUAACGAGAUGGGAGCUGUCUCAAAGAGGGAUCCAGUGAAAUUGUAGUGGAGGUGAAAAUUCCUCCUACCCGCGGCAAGACGGAAAGACCCCGUGGACCUUUACUACAGCUUGACACUGCUACUUGGAUAAGAAUGUGCAGGAUAGGUGGGAGGCUUUGAGUAUAUGACGCCAGUUGUAUAUGAGCCAUUGUUGAGAUACCACUCUUUCUUAUUUGGGUAGCUAACCAGCUUGAGUUAUCCUCAAGUGGGACAAUGUCUGGUGGGUAGUUUGACUGGGGCGGUCGCCUCCCAAAUAAUAACGGAGGCUUACAAAGGUUGGCUCAGAACGGUUGGAAAUCGUUCGUAGAGUAUAAAGGUAUAAGCCAGCUUAACUGCAAGACAUACAAGUCAAGCAGAGACGAAAGUCGGUCUUAGUGAUCCGGUGGUUCUGUGUGGAAGGGCCAUCGCUCAAAGGAUAAAAGGUACCCCGGGGAUAACAGGCUGAUCUCCCCCAAGAGCUCACAUCGACGGGGAGGUUUGGCACCUCGAUGUCGGCUCAUCGCAUCCUGGGGCUGGAGCAUGUCCCAAGGGUAUGGCUGUUCGCCAUUUAAAGCGGUACGCGAGCUGGGUUCAGAACGUCGUGAGACAGUUCGGUCCCUAUCUGCCGUGGGCGUAAGAAGAUUGAAGAGAUUUGACCCUAGUACGAGAGGACCGGGUUGAACAAACCACUGGUGUAGCUGUUGUUCUGCCAAGAGCAUCGCAGCGUAGCUAAGUUUGGAAAGGAUAAACGCUGAAAGCAUCUAAGCGUGAAGCCAACUCUAAGAUGAAUCUUCUCUAAGCUCUCUAGAAGACUACUAGUUUGAUAGGCUGGGUGUGUAAUGGAUGAAAGUCCUUUAGCUGACCAGUACUAAUAGAGCGUUUGGCUUAUCUUUAAUAAAGCAU
rnacentral:rRNA from 1 species